ACUCCUACGGGAGGCAGCAGUAGGGAAUCUUCGGCAAUGGGGGCAACCCUGACCGAGCAACGCCGCGUGAGUGAAGAAGGUUUUCGGAUCGUAAAGCUCUGUUGUAAGUCAAGAACGAGUGUGAGAGUGGAAAGUUCACACUGUGACGGUAGCUUACCAGAAAGGGACGGCUAACUACGUGCCAGCAGCCGCGGUAAUACGUAGGUCCCGAGCGUUGUCCGGAUUUAUUGGGCGUAAAGCGAGCGCAGGCGGUUUGAUAAGUCUGAAGUUAAAGGCUGUGGCUCAACCAUAGUUCGCUUUGGAAACUGUCAAACUUGAGUGCAGAAGGGGAGAGUGGAAUUCCAUGUGUAGCGGUGAAAUGCGUAGAUAUAUGGAGGAACACCGGUGGCGAAAGCGGCUCUCUGGUCUGUAACUGACGCUGAGGCUCGAAAGCGUGGGGAGCGAACAGGAUUAGAAACCCGGGUAGUCC
rnacentral:rRNA from 1 species